rnacentral:lncRNA from 1 species
GUGUACAUAAUGAAAGAGAGAGUAAGAAAUGACAAAUCCUAUUUAUGAGCUUCUUCUUCCUUCUCUUCUCUUCAAUGGUCUUCAAUGGUAGAUGGGUGUGUUGUUGGAGGCUAGGGUUUAGUGUGUGGAGUGUUGGGGAAGAUGAGUGAUGGAGAAGAAGAAGAAGAAUGAGAGAAAAAGGGGGAAAAUGGGGUUUAAGGGCUGAAAAACGCGACUCCGCUCUUUUCCCGCGGUCACGGCCCGCGCCCGUGGUGCUCAAACGUGGGCGAAACUCAGGGAACCCG